rnacentral:rRNA from 1 species
AGCAGCCGCGGUAAUUCCAGCUCCAAUAGCGUAUAUUAAAGUUGUUGUGGUUAAAAAGCUCGCAGUUGAACCUUGGGCCUGGCUGGCCGGUCCGCCUCACCGCGUGUACUGGUCCGGCCGGGCCUUUCCCUCUGUGGAACCCCAUGCCCUUCACUGGGUGUGGCGGGGAAACAGGACUUUUACUUUGAAAAAAUUAGAGUGCUCCAGGCAGGCCUAUGCUCGAAUACAUUAGCAUGGAAUAAUAGAAUAGGACGUGUGGUUCUAUUUUGUUGGUUUCUAGGACCGCCGUAAUGAUUAAUAGGGACAGUCGGGGGCAUCAGUAUUCAAUUGUCAGAGGUGAAAUUCUUGGAUUUAUUGAAGACUAACUACUGCGAAAGCAUUUGCCAAGGAUGUUUUCAUUAAUCAGGAACGAAAGUUAGGGGAUCGAAGACGAUCAGAUACCGUCGUAGUCUUAACCAUAAACUAUGCCGACUAGGG